rnacentral:rRNA from 1 species
UACGUAGGGGGCAAGCGUUGUCCGGAUUUAUUGGGCGUAAAGAGCUCGUAGGCGGCUCGGUAAGUCGGAUGUGAAACCUCCAGGCUCAACCUGGAGACGCCAUCUGAUACUGCCGUGGCUUGAGUCCGGUAGAGGAGCAGGGAAUUCCUGGUGUAGCGGUGAAAUGCGCAGAUAUCAGGAGGAACACCGGUGGCGAAGGCGGGUCUCUGGGCAGUAACUGACGCUGAGGAGCGAAAGCGUGGGGAGCGAACAGG